rnacentral:tRNA from 1 species
GGCAAUGUAGUUCAGUGUUUAGAGGAACUGGGCUUGUAACCCAGAGAUUGCAGGUUCGAUUCCCAUGUAGCCC